UACGGGGGGGGCAAGCGUUGUUCGGAAUUACUGGGCGUAAAGGGCUCGUAGGCGGCCAACUAAGUCAUACGUGAAAUCCCUCGGCUUAACCGGGGAACUGCGUCUGAUACUGGAUGGCUUGAGUUCGGGAGAGGGAUGCGGAAUUCCAGGUGUAGCGGUGAAAUGCGUAGAUAUCUGGAGGAACACCGGUGGCGAAGGCAAUCCCCUGGGCCUGCACUGACGCUCAUGCACGAAAGCGUGGGGAGCAAACAGG
rnacentral:rRNA from 1 species